UGGGCACUCUAAGAUGACUGCCGGUGACAAACCGGAGGAAGGUGGGGAUGACGUCAAAUCAUCAUGCCCCUUAUGACCUGGGCUACACACGUACUACAAUGGCCGAUACAACGGGUCGCGAAGCCGCGAGGCGGAGCCAAUCCUAUCAAAGUCGGUCUCAGUUCGGAUUGCAGGCUGCAACUCGCCUGCAUGAAGUCGGAAUUGCUAGUAAUCGCGGAUCAGCAUGCCGCGGUGAAUACGUUCCCGGGUCUUGUACACACCGCCCGUCACACCACGAGAGUUUACAACACCCGAAGCCGGUGGGGUAACCUGAAGCGUUUCGCAAGAAACGCACAUCGGAAGCGAUGCUCAGGAGCCAGCCGUCGAAGGUGGGGUAGAUGAUUGGGGUGAAGUCGUAACAAGGUAGCCGUAUCGGAAGGUGCGGCUGGAUCACCUCCUUUCUAAGGA
rnacentral:rRNA from 2 species